rnacentral:rRNA from 1 species
AUUGAACGCUGGCGGCAUGUCUUACACAUGCAAGUCGAACGGCAGCGGGGGAGAAGCUUGCUUUUCCUGCCGGCGAGUGGCGAACGGGUGAGUAAUACAUCGGAACGUGCCCUGUAGUGGGGGAUAACUAGUCGAAAGAUUAGCUAAUACCGCAUACGACCGGAGGGUGAAAGUGGGGGACCGCAAGGCCUCAUGCUAUAGGAGCGGCCGAUGUCUGAUUAGCUAGUUGGUGGGGUAAAGGCUCACCAAGGCGACGAUCAGUAGCGGGUCUGAGAGGAUGAUCCGCCACACUGGGACUGAGACACGGCCCAGACUCCUACGGGAGGCAGCAGUGGGGAAUUUUGGACAAUGGGCGCAAGCCUGAUCCAGCCAUGCCGCGUGUCUGAAGAAGGCCUUCGGGUUGUAAAGGACUUUUGUCCGGGAGCAAAUGCCUGGUGUUAAUAGCACUGGGAGCUGAGAGUACCGGAAGAAUAAGCACCGGCUAACUACGUGCCAGCCGCCGCAGUAAGAC